UGGCGCACGGGUGCGUAACACGUGGGAAUCUGCCCUUAGGUACGGAAUAACUCAGGGAAACUUGAGCUAAUACCGUAGGAUGUCUUCGGACCAAAGAUUUAUCGCCUAGGGAUGAGCCCGCGUCGGAUUAGCUAGUUGGUGGGGUAAAGGCCUACCAAGGCGACGAUCCGUAGCUGGUCUGAGAGGAUGAUCAGCCACACUGGGACUGAGACACGGCCCAGACUCCUACGGGAGGCAGCAGUGGGGAAUAUUGGACAAUGGGCGAAAGCCUGAUCCAGCAAUGCCGCGUGAGUGAAGAAGGCCUUCGGGUUGUAAAGCUCUUUUACCCGGGAAGAUAAUGACUGUACCGGGAGAAUAAGCCCCGGCUAACUCCGUGCCAGCAGCCGCGGUAAUACGGAGGGGGCUAGCGUUGUUCGGAAUUACUGGGCGUAAAGCGCACGUAGGCGGCUUUACAAGUCAGGGGUGAAAGCCCGCGGCUCAACCGCGGAAUUGCCCUUGAGACUGUAUCGCUUGAACACGGGAGAGGUGAGUGGAAUUCCGAGUGUAGAGGUGAAAUUCGUAGAUAUUCGGAAGAACACCAGUGGCGAAGGCGGCUCACUGGACCGUAGUUGACGCUGAGGUGCGAAAGCGUGGGGAGCAAACAGG
rnacentral:rRNA from 1 species